AGGCGUGGCCUUGCGGUCCGGCCGGGCCCGGGCUGUAAGCAUCGGGGCUCCGCUGCCCCCCCAGCGCCACGGCGGGCAGGGCCCGGCCGCCCCCGCCCGCCCUCUCCGGCCGGCACCGCGCCGAGGCCGACUGAGGUGCAUUUCACUGCCUUUUGCCACCAAAGGCCAUCCUCUGCCAGGAGAAGAUCCCAGAGUCAGCCUCAGCAGCAGCUGGAUGAGGAGGAAGAUGAUGAUGGUUCCAUUCAGUCCAGAGGUGAUUUUUCUGCUGAGGGAGGAGCUGCCUAGGAGCAGGAGCAGAGCCAGGAGGGAGCUGAAGCAGCCAACAGCUCACAAAAGCAUCCACAAAGAGAAGCCAGGAAACUGCCACUGCAAAGAGCUCUCUGCCCACCCAACCUUCAGGCCCUGAGCAGCAAGGAGACUUGCCAGGCUGGUGGUGGGUCCAUUCUGUGCCUGGAACUGUACAGGAGGUGGUCCAUCUGUCCACUGAAAGAUAACAAAGAGCAUGAAAAUCCUACAGCUGCUGUCCCAAAGAGAGGAGGAAACUUCCUUUGGAUCAUUUGCUACCUCCAGAAGAUUAAAUGGUUUCCAGCAGGAGAAGUUGUGUGGCAGCUUUGGCUCUGGUUUAAGUGGUGUGGGGGCUCUCAAUGCUGUGCUCAUCAUUCCAAACCUGGUUGGUUUCUCUGUUUGGAUCAUGGGGAAAGCAUUUCCUGCCCUGACAGGUAAACUUCCAACUGUCUGAGCAUAGGAAAAGGAAGCUGCAGGAAGCAGAGAUUCAGCUUUGGAUGUGUCUGAGCCAUGAAGCACUGAGCUGCAGUUCCCAGAGCUCCUCGCUCAGCCCUUGGGCUCAAGCAUCUUCCUCUGCCCUCAGUCAAAACUCUUCCUGAUUUAGGGUAGGGUGUCCCUGCCUGUGGCAGGGGGGUGGAACUGGAUGAUCCUUGUGGUCCCUUCCAGCCCUGACUGAUUCUAGGAGUCUUCUGCAAGUGAGGAGGUUUAGUUUUUGGCUCUUAAUCCUCUUCCCCACUCCAGCAGAGACACAAAAUGGAAAGGAAGGAGAGGAAAGGGGAAGGAGGUCCCAUGGAUGGAGCAGCCUGGGGUGAGUCUUUCAGCAUGGGCUGAAUCCCAAACACCUUCACCCUCACCAGUCCUGGGAGUGAAGGCAGCAAACAGCCUCUUCUUGUUGCCUUCUCCCCACAAGGUGCUGUUGGGAGCUCAGAGCAUCCUGCACUCUCUCAUGGACAUGGAAAUGAUCUUAAGGUCUUGCUGAGCUGCAGCUUAGGAAACCAUUCAGCACUUUCAAAACAGAGUUAAAGAGUAGUUCUGGAUGGGCAGGGCCAGCAACAAAGUCCAAAGUGAGCUGCACUUUAAGGCUCUACAGCCAUCAGCUGCUGCACUGACUGCAAGUUCAGCUUUAGAGAUAAGCAGGAUUUAAAAAGCCAAACUUAGGGAUGCUAAAAUGAUCAAGGAAAUUCUACUUGCAGCAGUGGAAAACAAAGCUUACCCCACCAGGAGUCAAACUGAGUGACCCCAACACUAAAAUUAACCCUGAGAGCACAGCAAGUGUCUGCCAAGAGCUGUCACCAAACUGAUUACCUGCUCCAAAAGCCAUUUUCAGACACAGGCAGCUCUUGGAGUACCAAGAAAAGGCUUCUAAGAGGCCUUACCCCACCAAGGCAGAGCUUUUACCCCCCCAAAGAAACCCUCACAGAGGGAGUUAAUUAAUUGAGUCAUUUCCUUUUCCUGUUAUCAGCCCAGUUUAGGCACUUAGAAGCAGCCAGAAGUUUAGCAGCUCAGCAGCAGCAGAAAGGGGAAGCAAAGCACCUUGAGCUUUGCCUCCAAACUGCUGCCCAGCUGGGAGCUGAGGAUCUCUUACCGUGAUGAGAUUGUGUUCUGGAAGACUGCAGGCUUCAAUGUGGUCCUGGAGGAGCUGCUGGGAGAAGUUUUGGUGCAUCUGUGCUGCCUCAUGUGCAUCCAUGGCAUUGCCACAGGCUUUGUUCAGGUCUGCAAGAGAAGGGCCUCAGUGUGCUCACCCAGGAACACCAGCUGAGCUUGAUGCCAGCUGGCCAGCUCCCACCUGAAAAGCCUGUUUUGUUUCCUCUCAUGACUCACUCCAACAGCCAAAGUCCUGUCACUGCUGAGAGAACCCCCAAGAGAAGCAGAAGGACACAGGCUGGGGAAGCCUCCCCCUUUUUCCAAGGGGAUUUGGGGUCAGAUAUGGAAUUAACUUUGGGUUCCACCUCUUAAAACUGAGGUUACAGCAGCUCUGAAAGGAGGAAGCCAGCUCCUGGCUCCCAGGAAAGCACCACAGCAGCUGGAGCUGUGUCUUUUGGGCUCCCAGCACCAUCUAGUGGGAGCAGGCACUGGCAGCAGGCACAGACUCCAGCUGCUCAGUGAGCAAUGGAUUGAAGCUAGAAGGGAGGUUGAGAAUGGAGAGCAGGAAGAAAUUCUUGCCAGUGAAGGGCAGGGAGACAUCGGCACAGGCUGCCCAGGGAGGCUGUGGAUGUCCCCUCCCUGGGCGUGUUCAAGGCCGGGUUGAAUGAGGCCUUCAGCAGCCUGGACUGGUGGAGGUGUUGGAGCUGGAUGAGUUUUGAGGUCCUUUCCAACCCAACUCAGCCUCUUGGGCACCAGACCCUUCAGAUCCAGCCCCUCUGGGGCACCAGACCCUUCAGAUCCAGCCCCUCUUAGAGCUCCAGCCCCAAGCCCUCUUAGAGCUCCAGACCCUUCAGAUCCAGCCUCUCUGGGGCACCAGACCCUUCAGAUCCAGGCCCCUCUGGGGCACCAGACCCUUCAGAUCCAGGCCCCUCUGGGGCACCAGACCCUUCAGAUCCAGCCCCUCUGGGGCACCAGACCCUUCAGAUCCAGGCCCCUUAGAGCUCCAGACCCUUCAGAUCCAGCCCCUCUGGGGCACCAGACCCUUCAGAUCCAGGCCCCUUAGAGCUCCAGACCCUUCAGAUCCAGCCCCUCUGGGGCGCCAGACCCUUCAGAUCCAGGCCCCUUAGAGCUCCAGACCCUUCAGAUCCAGGCCCUCUUAGAGCUCCAGACCCAGCCCCUCUUAGAGCUCCAGACCCUUCAGAUCCAGGCCCCUUAGAGCUCCAGACCCUUCAGAUCCAGCCCCUCUGGGGCGCCAGACCCUUCAGAUCCAGGCCCCUUAGAGCUCCAGACCCUUCAGAUCCAGGCCCUCUUAGAGCUCCAGACCCAGCCCCUCUUAGAGCUCCAGACCCUUCAGAUCCAGGCCCCUUAGAGCUGCAGACUCUUCAGAUCCAGCCCCUCUUAGAGCUGCAGACCCUUCAAAUCCAGCCCCUCUUAGAGCUGCAGACCCUUACAGGCACCAGACCUUUUAGAUCCAAGACUCUCUUGAACAGUAGAACUUUUCCUGACUCACCUCUCAACAGAGCUGAGGACCAGAGCUGCACAGACAUGUCUGGGAUCUUGCUGGCAAGCUGCAUGGCUGGCACUACCAUGUUAUUGCUUUCCUGGUGAAGAGCAGACAGCAAAGUCAAAUGCAUCCCUGCAGUUCUUAUCUGCCCCCCAAGGAAGGAGCCCAGGAAGGAGCCCAGGAAGGAGCCCAGGAAGGAGCCAAGGAAGGAGCCAAGGAAGGAGCCAAGGAAGGAGCUGUGGAUGCCUCCCCCCUGGAGAUGGUCAAGGCCAGGCUGGAUGAAGCCUUGAGCAAGUUGAGCUGGCGGAGGUCCCCCUGCCCAUGACAGAGGGCUGGAGCAGGAUGAGCUCUGAGGUCCCAUUCCAAGCUAAACCAUCCUGUGCUUCCUUUUCUUUGGCAAGUAAGCAGAAGCUGUGCAGAGGCAGAGCAGAGCUGGAGCAGACUCACCCUGUGGUUCCCUAAGACAUAGAAUAUGUGGCCCAGCAGCACCAGGGAGCAGGCUGUGAGGCGAUUCAAGUCCUCUGCGUUCGACAUCUUCAGCGUCUCCCGCAGGAACCGUCUGCCAGAGGAGAGCAGAAGGUGGGUGAGGAAAACCUCUGCUUUCCCCUCCAGGCUCUCAGAAACAUCCCUGAGAGCCACAGGAAUCCACCCAGCAAAUAGCAGUGCUCAGGAAUAAAAGGAUGACCUUAAACAAAGCUCUUAAUUCCCAUGUCUCAUCUCUCACUUAGCCAAACCGACUGGAGCCAAACGGCUUCCUGGAGCUCUCCUCCUACCCUACACCACGAGUGGGGCUGAACCCAGGAGGAGCAGAGCUGACAGAUUUGAGAGGCAGGCCCCAGGGGGUUCGUUUUGAUCUUAAAAAGCUUGAGUUAGUGACUCCUCUUGUGGUUUUUAUACUCACUUUGCCUCGUUGUAUCUUCCUUGAAAGAAGGAGAAGAGACCUCGGAUGUAGAAAGCUGCUGCCCGGAGACAGUGAGAGCUGCAGGGGAAGCAGAGCACUGAGAGCUUGGCACUGAGGGGGCUGCACCUUGGAGGCCUCCAGGGACCUGCCCCACCAGCACAUCUCCAACACUGCCCUCAACCUGUGGCCACAACUGCUGCCUUCAGGGAAGUUGACUGGAGCAGCUCUGAGGCUGAGAGCCCUGAGGCUGCUGAGCCUGCACAAGAGCAGCCCCAGAAGGGAGCUGAGCAAUGCUCAGCAAGAGCUAAAGGAGCUGUGGGGAGCAAGGGGAUGGUGCCAGACUCUGCUCAGUGGUGCUCAGGGGCAGUGGGCACAAACUGGAAGCCAGGAGGUUCCAGCUGAGCAGGAAGAGAAAGUUCUUUGGUGUGAGGGCCUGGAGCAGGCUGCCCAGAGAGGUUGUGGAGUCUCCUUCUCUGCACAGCUUCCAACCCUCCCUGGGCACUGUGCUCCUGGGCAAGCUGCUGUGGGUGCCCUGCUGGGGUGGGGUUGGACUGGCUGAGCUCCAGAGGUCACUUCCAACCUCCUCCAUGCUGGGAUUCUGGGAUUUUAUUUCCUGCUGGAAAUCCAACAUCACCACCACAGCACCAAGAGGUAGAUAGCUCCUGGAAUUCUCACCUCACAGGGAAAUUAUGGUCUGGAUUUAUCCUUUCCAAUAAGCUGUAGAGCUGCAAAGAGGAAGGAGAGAAGGAAGAUGAUCAGACACAUCCUACCAGUGCACAAAGACACUCAACUUUACUCCACUCUUCAAUCACAGCAGAAACACUUCAGCACCAGGAGUCUCCAAGCUCAUUUGGAGCCUAAAACUCCACUUCCAGACAAGUUCUCAGCCUGUACAAUGCCAAAGGUGGCUCAGAAAGCUCCUGGCUGUUGUAGCUGAGGCAAUAAACAGUGCAGCAGGUUUGCUCUUGAAUUGAAACCAGAAAUUGAAGUGAAUAAAACCCAAACAACACCCAAAGGGUUGAGCUUUUAA